UACGAAGGGGGCUAGCGUUGCUCGGAAUUACUGGGCGGAAAGCGCACGUAGGCGGUCUUUUAAGUCGGGGGUGAAAUCCUGGAGCUCAACUCCAGAACUGCCUUCGAUACUGAGAGACUUGAGUCCGGGAGAGGUGAGUGGAACUGCGAGUGUAGAGGUGAAAUUCGUAGAUAUUCGCAAGAACACCAGUGGCGAAGGCGGCUCACUGGCCCGGUACUGACGCUGAGGCGCGACAGCGUGGGGAGCAAACAGG
rnacentral:rRNA from 1 species